GAUCAUGGCUCAGGAUGAACGCUGGCGGCGUGCUUAACACAUGCAAGUCGAACGAAGCAACUAUCUUGCUUGCAAGAGAGUUGACUUAGUGGCGGACGGGUGAGUAACGCGUGGGUAACCUGCCUCAUACAGGGGGAUAACAGUUGGAAACGACUGCUAAGACCGCAUAACCCGCUAGUGUCGCAUGACACGGACGGAAAAUAUUUAUAGGUAUGAGAUGGGCCCGCGUCUGAUUAGCUAGUUGGUAAGGUAACGGCUUACCAAGGCGACGAUCAGUAGCCGACUUGAGAGAGUGAUCGGCCACAUUGGGACUGAGACACGGCCCAAACUCCUACGGGAGGCAGCAGUGGGGAAUAUUGGACAAUGGGGGAAACCCUGAUCCAAGCGACGCCGCGUGAGUGAAGAAGUAUUUCGGUAUGUAAAGCUCUAUCAGCAGGGAAGAUAAUGACAGUACCUGACUAAGAAGCCCCGGCUAACUACGUGCCAGCAGCCGC
rnacentral:rRNA from 1 species